UACAGAGGGUGCAAGCGUUGUUCGGAAUUAUUGGGCGUAAAGCGCGUGUAGGCGGCUUUGCAAGUCGGGUGUGAAAGCCCUCAGCUCAACUGCGGAAGUGCGCCCGAAACUGCAGAGCUUGAGUACCGGAGAGGAUGGCGGAAUUCCCCAAGUAGAGGUGAAAUUCGUAGAUAUGGGGAGGAACACCGGUGGCGAAGGCGGCCAUCUGGACGGAUACUGACGCUGAGACGCGAAAGCGUGGGGAGCAAACAGG
rnacentral:rRNA from 1 species